rnacentral:rRNA from 1 species
GACGAACGCUGGCGGCGUGCUUAACACAUGCAAGUCGAACGAAGAAGCCCAGCUUGCGGGGGGUGCUAGAGGCGAACAGGGGAGUAACACGCGUGUAUCCUCUGCCUAAGUCUUGGAUAUGCCUUGGGAACAGGGUGGAAUACCCCAGAGAAGAGUUCAUGGCGCGGGGGGGGGGGGAGAGAGUUAUCGCGGUUGGGGGUGGACUCGCGGCAUCUCAGCUUGUUGGUGGGGUAGUGGCUUACCAAGGCUUUGACGGGUAGCCGGCCUGAGAGGGUGACCGGCCACACUGGGACUGAGACACGGCCCAGACUCCUACGGGAGGCAGCAGUGGGGAAUAUUGCACAAUGGGCGGAAGCCUGAUGCAGCAACGCCGCGUGCGGGAUGACGGCCUUCGGGUUGUAAACCUCUUUCGGUAGGGACGAAGCGAGAGUGACGGUACCUGCAGAAGAAGCACCGGCUAACUACGUG